rnacentral:tRNA from 1 species
GGGGAUUUAGCUCAAUGGUAGAGCACUUGCCUAGCAAGCACAAAGCCCUGGGUUCGGUCCCCAGCUCCA